rnacentral:tRNA from 1 species
GGCUCCAUAGCUCAGAGAUUAGCACUGGUCUCAUAAACCAGGGGUCGCAAGUUCGAUUCUCAAUGGGGCCU